rnacentral:rRNA from 1 species
UACAGAGGUCUCAAGCGUUGUUCGGAUUCAUUGGGCGUAAAGGGCGCGUAGGCUGCUGGGCAAGUCGGGUGUGAAAUCUCAGAGCUCAACUCUGAAACUGCACUCGAUACUGCUUUGCUUGAGGACUGGAGAGGAGAUUGGAAUUCACGGUGUAGCAGUGAAAUGCGUAGAUAUCGUGAGGAAGACCAGUGGCGAAGGCGGCGACCUGGGCCAAUAUUGACGCUGAGGUGCGAAAGCGUGGGGAGCAAACAGG